AGUGAACGCUGGCGGCAGGCCUAACACAUGCAAGUCGAACGGCAGCACAAGAGAGCUUGCUCUCUGGGUGGCGAGUGGCGGACGGGUGAGGAAUGCAUCGGAAUCUGCCCAUUUGUGGGGGAUAACCUCGGGAAACCGGGGCUACUACCGCAUACGACCUACGGGUGAAAGCAGGGGAUCUUCGGACCUUGCGCAGAUGGAUGAGCCGAUGCCGGAUUAGCUAGUUGGAGGGGUAAAGGCCCACCAAGGCGACGAUCCGUAGCUGGUCUGAGAGGAUGAUCAGCCACACUGGGACUGAGACACGGCCCAGACUCCUACGGGAGGCAGCAGUGGGGAAUAUUGGACAAUGGGCGCAAGCCUGAUCCAGCCAUGCCGCGUGUGUGAAGAAGGCCUUCGGGUUGUAAAGCACUUUUGUUGGGAAAGAAAAGCAGCCGGUUAAUACCCGGUUGUCAUGACGGUACCCAAAGAAUAAGCACCGGCUAACUUCGUG
rnacentral:rRNA from 1 species